CCUCGGUCACAUGAUCUCGUGACGUAACAGUGUCCGCUUGCUCCUUGCUCCUCUCCUUCCACGCUGCCUCCUCCGCCUCGUCCUCCUCCUCCUCCUCCUCCUCCUGCUGCUGUUUGUCUGUGUUCAUUGUUUUUUUUUUUCCUGGUCCAGUUUGGAGGCGGUUUGAGAAACACAGGAGAGCCGUGAGACAUGAACAGUGAAAACUUCAGCCUGAGUGAGAAGAUAGUGUCACCCGCCUACGUUCGUCAGGGGAGCCAGGCGCGCCGAAGCCAUGAGCAGCUCAUCAGACACUUACUGGAGCAGGGUAAGUGUCCGGAGGAGGGAUGGAGUGAGAGCACCAUAGAGCUCUUCUUGAAUGAGCUGGCUGUGAUGGACAGCAAUAAUUUCCUCAGCAACUGCGGUGUGGGAGAGAGGGAAGGCCGGGUGGCAUCCAGCCUUGUGGCGAGACGACAUUACAGGUUGAUCCAUGGCAUAGGUCGGUCAGGUGACAUCGCUGCUGUUCAGCCCAAAGCGGCAGGAUCCAGUCUGCUUAACAAGCUGACCAAUUCAGUUGUGCUGGACAUUUUAAAGCUCUCAGGUGUCCAGAAGGUGGCGAGCUGCUUUGUUGUUCCCAUGGCGACAGGGAUGAGCUUGACACUGUGCUUCCUGACCCUCCGUCAUCGGCGACCCAAGGCUCGCUACAUCAUUUGGCCUCGUAUCGACCAGAAGUCCUGUUUCAAAGCCAUGAUCACAGCAGGCUUUGAACCGGUGGUGGUGGAGAAUGUUCUUGAGGGCGACGAGUUGCGGACAGAUUUGGAAGCAGUUGAGCGUAAGAUCGAGGAGCUCGGAGCUGAAAACAUCCUGUGUGUUCAUUCAACAACAUCCUGCUUCGCCCCACGGGUCCCUGACAGGCUUGAGGAGCUGGCCACUGUGUGCGCUAAACAUAACCUUCCCCACAUAGUUAACAACGCGUACGGAGUACAGUCGUCCAAAUGCAUGCACCUUAUACAACAGGGUGCUCGUGUAGGAAGAAUCGAUGCCUUCGUACAGAGCUUGGACAAGAACUUUAUGGUUCCAGUAGGUGGCGCCAUAAUCGCAGGUUUUGAUGAGUCCUUCAUACAGGAGAUCAGCAAGAUGUACCCGGGUCGAGCAUCGGCUUCGCCUUCCCUUGACGUCCUCAUUACCCUUCUCACCCUGGGAGCCAGCGGCUACAAGAAACUCCUGUCAGAAAGGAAGGAGAUUUAUUCGUUCCUGGCUCAGGAGCUGAAGACUCUGGCCUCUGCACACGGGGAGAGAUUGCUCCACACCCCACAUAACCCCAUUUCACUGGCCAUGUCUCUGGAUGGUCUCCAGGCCAAGAGCAACAAGGCAGUGACUCACCUCGGCUCCAUGUUGUUCACCCGGCAAGUGUCAGGAGCCAGGGUCAUACCGCUGGGAAAGGAGCAGACCGUAAGCGGACACACGUUCCGCGGCUUUAUGUCGCACUCGGAGGCAUACCCAUGCCCUUACCUCAACGCUGCCUCAGCCGUGGGCAUCACGCGCGAAGACGUGACACUGUGCAUCAAAAGGCUCGACAAGUGCCUGAAGACCCUGAAGAAGGAGGGAAACGCGGCGAAAAGUAGUUCCCCGGUACCUCCGCCAUGCCAGGAGGACACUGGUGAAGAGUGACUGAGCAGAAAUAAGAACAUUUUAAUGGGCUAAGUGUGUGUGUGUGUGUGUGUGUGUGUGUGUGUGUGUGUGUGCUGAUGGAUCAUCUAGACAAUGUCUUGAACUCUGCAGCAACAGGUAACGAUGAAACCCUGCGUUCAUCAUCAACAGAAAUGACACAAGCUUGUGAAUGUGUGCUAAUUAUCAGAUAUUGUAAGGACACAAGCUGUAUACAAAUGCUUCUCUGCAGCAUGUGAUCUAAAAUUAGACCAAAGCCUCUGUCUAGACUAUUGCAUUGUUGUCUGUAUAUAAUGAAAAUGGAUUUUGGACUCCAAAUAGAUUAUGGAUCUACAUUUUAUAA